rnacentral:rRNA from 1 species
UGGGGAAUUUUGGACAAUGGGCGAAAGCCUGAUCCAGUAAUGCCCGCGUGUGUGAAGAAGGCCUUCGGGUUGUAAAGCACUUUUGUCCGGAAAGAAAUCCUCUGGGUUAAUACCUCGGGGGGAUGACGGUACCGGAAGAAUAAGCACCGGCUAACUACGUGCCAGCAGCCGCGGUAAUACGUGGGGGUGCAAGCGUUAAUCGGAAUUACUGGGCGUAAAGCGUGCGCAGGCGGUUUUGUAAGACGGAUGUGAAAUCCCCGGGCUUAACCUGGGAACUGCAUUCGUGACUGCAAGGCUAGAGUAUGGCAGAGGGGGGUAGAAUUCCACGUGUAGCAGUGAAAUGCGUAGAGAUGUGGAGGAAUACCGAUGGCGAAGGCAGCCCCCUGGGCCAAUACUGACGCUCAUGCACGAAAGCGUGGGGAGCAAACAGGAUUAGAUACCCUGGUAGUCCACGCCCUAAACGAUGUCAACUAGUUGUUGGGGAUUCAUUCCUUAGUAACGUAGCUAACGCGUGAAGUUGACCGCCUGGGGAGUACGGUCGCAAGAUUAAAACUCAAA